rfam:Ignavibacteria bacterium RIFOXYD12_FTLL_36_8 rifoxyd3_full_scaffold_121, whole genome shotgun sequence.
CUGCCAAGUCCCAAUCGUGGUAAAACUCUAAAGCCACGUAGCGAGAAGCCGGAGUAUAACUGGAAACGGAUAUGCUUUAAGCGGCUUGACAAAGUAAUCAAUCCUCCGACAAAAUCGGAGAGAAAGGAUGCGACGCAAAAGACCGGGUUGUAAUGUAA